rnacentral:rRNA from 1 species
UACAGAGGUGGCAAGCGUUGUUCGGAAUUACUGGGCGUAAAGGGCGCGUAGGUGGCCUUGUUAGUCAGACGUGAAAUCCCCAAGCUUAACUUGGGAACUGCGUCUGAUACUGCAAGGCUUGAGUUCGGGAGAGGGAUGUGGAAUUCCAGGUGUAGCGGUGAAAUGCGUAGAUAUUUGGAGGAACACCGGUGGCGAAGGCGGCAUCCUGGACCGAAACUGACACUGAGGCGCGAAAGCUAGGGGAGCAAACGGG